UGACAUCCUGAGAAUUACGCCAGCCUGAAGAAAAGAGUUUAAUCAAUUCUGAUGGAGAAAAGAUGGAGUGAAAAAGCCAUGUAUAAAAUGGUCAGCAUGCUGCUUCCUGGAGCUACCCUCAAACCCAGGAAAGGAGGGACCAGACACUUUGGCUGAUAUUCCAUGCUUUUGAGGAUUAGAUUAGACUGCAGAGGAAACCAUGGGCUAUCUCUGGAUCUGGCUGGCAACGAAAAGCAACUACAUGUGGCAUAAUUUAUUUGCUUUAGAACAACAAGUUGGGACAUGAAUUUGUUUAGUAUCUUCUGGUAUUUGUACUCCCUUUUUUGUUUUUUAGUCUUUACUCUUCCAAGAGUUUCUUUUGACUGUAGAGAUGAGAAGAAUGGACUAAUUCUAGAACCAAUAAUGGAGAGCUUAACUUGGAAAUAUGAGCAGAUAGGUAAUUUCAGGAUUCGGAGAUCAUGUGGCGGGGGCAUUAAAUAAAAAUCUGUGAGUUGAAAAGUACAGUCACAUGCAUCAGGUAGUUGAGGUGUUAAUGAAACAAUUCCAUUUUAGAACUUUCUAGGAGCAAAAGCUUAAACUCCCCCCCACCCCCACCAUUUCUAUCACCAAUCUUUGGUUUAGUCUUGAGUUUUCAAUCUAAGGGGAGAAGCCUGACCAUUGGUUACUGGCAGAUCUUUUGUAAAUUCAGCUACUCAAGGGAACAGCUCAGAAAACUUACUUAUUAAUAAGGAAAUCCCUACAAUGAAAUAGUAAUUCCAGGGCAUGACGUAAAUGUGGGAAAAUAAGACAAAUGUGAUUUGAACAAUUAUUCCCAUUUCUGAAGGCAAGGGAAGCGAUUUCCUAUUUGAAAUUUCUUGAAGAAACAGAAGCUAGGUGCAGGUGAAAGGAUUCAGGAAACCUGGUACUGGAUGUAAUUCAGAGCUGUGCAAUCACACUGCUAAUGCCCAGGACAGAGGAUUGAAUAAGGCAACAGUGGCAUAUACAUAUAAUGGGAUAUGACUGAGCUUGAUAGGGGGAAAUCCUGUCAUAUACAACAACAUACAUAAACCUAGAAGACACUACGCUAAGUGAAACAAGCCAGGCACAGAAGGACAAAUACUGCAUGAUUCCACAUAUAGUCAAUCUAAAAUAUUCUAACACAUGGAAGCAGAGACUAGAAUAGUGGUACCAUGGGCUUAGGGAAGGGGGAAUGAGGAGUUGCUCUUCAAUGGGUAUGAAUUUCUAGUCAUGUAAGCUAAUUAAGUCUUAGAAGUUUGCCGUACAACAUCGUGCCUAUAGCUAACAAUAUUGUAUCUUACACUUACAACUUUGUUAAGAGGGUAAAUCUCAUGUUAAAUGUUCUUGCCACAAUUAAAAAAAAAAAAAAAAGACUGCUUGGCUUCAACUCUCAGAUCCACCACAUAUCCUACCUGAGUGGCCUGGGGCAAGUUUUUAAACUUUCCUCAUUUCAGAGUAGGGGUGGCAAAUGAGGAAUCCUGAGACCUCAACUGGUUAAUACAUGUAAAAGCACUGGGCAUAGUGUAAGCCCUCACACACCAUUAGCUGUUUACUUCAGGCCUAGUGGGCUUGAGACCUCAGGGAAGUUUGGCUUCUCUAGAUCUCAUUUGCCCCAUCAAGAGGACACAGUGAGGCAGCCCUGAGCCAAAGCCACGUUUGCGAAACAGAAUGAGUGACCUUGGGGGCAGCAGAGCAAGUAAAUACUAAGGAACAUCGUCGUUGCACUCCUUACAACCAGCAGGAGUAGAUUAAAGCAAGCGAGAUCAUGAAUUCCCUGCAAGAAUUUCCCUAUGAACAAGAAAGAUUCUUGAGCUGCUGCCUGAGAUAAUUCAAUUCCAAGAGAUCUACCACUAAUUAGUUCUUCCCUUAAUUUGGAAUUUUUAAGUGUAGACCAAAGAUUGACAGUAGCAUUGGAGAUUUAAGCUUUUGCUUCUAAAAAAGUUCUAGAAUGGUAUCAUUGUUUUUAAAAAACCUCAGCUACUUUACUGCAAUGACUGAUGUGUGACUGUAUUUUUUAAAAUUCAUCAUUUAUGAUUCAACGCAUCCAUGCACUACAAGUAAUUCUGAUCCUAAAAUUUUCUAUGCCCUCAAAAUUCCAAAUUUAUCUUUCCUUUUUCCCCAUAAUGUAGCCCCUGCCCCAAAGCAUUCCUUUAUAUACCCCUGAAUUUCACCUCCAGUCACAAUUCGUUCCCCUUACAGUCACUCCUCAGGCUGAGUCUGUCAUAUCCUCUCUACGUAAAACUCUCCCAUCAUCAUUUCAGCCCAGAAAAUUCCAGUCACAAUUGCCUUCUGGGGAAUCUAAAUCAGGUUAUGGUAAUGUGACAGCUCAUUCAAUAUCCUGAAACUCCCCAGCCUCCAGCCAUCAACUCCCAUUCACAAAUUCAUAUUUUAUAGAAAAACUUUAAAUGAAAGCUUAGAUUAGGCGAAGAUUGUAGUUUGGUCAAGAUACCUGCUGGGAUUCACAUUCUCUACGGAGGAAUCUGACUGAAUUCUAAAGAACAAUUAAAUGCAGUCAGUAUUACUUAAAAGUUUGAGUUUCUCAGUAAAGGCAGUCUGAUAAGAAACAAUGAUCUGGAGCUUGAAGGAGGCACCCAGAGAUUGCAAGUUUCAAAUUCACCCUCUAACAUCAGGACUAUUAGAGAGCUCCUUUGAUUCAGACCAAAAUGGUCAAGACCAUGUUCAGGUAGCUCGUAUUUUUAAGAUUGUUGGAAUAUUUGACUGCGGUGGGGGCACAGUACAUGAGCUAACAGUUGAAUGGACAUCAGAGGUUUGAAACAAUGUGCUUUGCCACUAAAUGGCCAUGUGAUCUUGGGUAAGUCACAACUCAUAUGGGACUCCCUGUUCUUAUCUAUGAAAUAAGGGCUAAGUCAGAUGUCAAGUAUGUCUCCUCCCAUGCUAACAGGAUUUUCCGUGUACGUUCAGCAAUCAAGCCCACAUGGCAAGACCUGAAGGUUCACGACCUAAAUUUCAUUUUCUCAGUGAAACGUGCUCACACGGAUGAUUCUCUAUUUCUCUCUCCUCUUUAGAAAUAUAUUUACAAGAUGCUAUUGCUGUCUUCCUAUAACCAAGUUGAUUCAAAUUAUUAUCUUUUUCAAUUUUAUAAGAAAGUAGGUCUUUAGUUUUGAAAACAAUCCUACAAAACAUAUUUAAAUGCGAACUUAUCAAGAACAAGAUGCCUUUUGCCCAAGUCAAUAGAACCUGUCCUAAACCUGUCAUUUAAAUGAUCACUCAUGAAAUAAUUUUAUCCUAUAAGAAGACAUGAACUGAAGGGAGACACAGGUGUGAUGGAAUGGAAUGCAGCCUGAAUGCUAACAAUCUGGUCCCGUUUCUGCAUCUUGCAUGAGUGGCCUCAUGAUCUUGAAUGUCCCUUCCUGCUCUAAAAUUUGGUUCCUCUGGAAAACACACUCCGUUCAUUUUGGCCUUGAGUCUUAGCAAUCUCAUAUGGUAAAAUUGAGGGUCAGGUGCAUAGCAAACAGUUCAUAAACACUUAUUUAAUAUACAACAAAUUAAGCAGAGGUUCUCACCAAAUUCUACCGUGCUCAAGUUCAUAAGAACUGAGAAGAGUGGAAGAUUCCAAAGGAGGAAUAUAAACAUAUAAACAUAUGCAAUUGCAUUUUCUGAUGGAUCCUUAACUAUUGAAGUAUAAGUUUACAUUCGAGGCGUGUAUACCUCCCACAACAAACUCAGAUGGUUUGUAUGUCAUGUUUGAAAAUUAUAUCAUGUUUUAUACUAUCAGAAAAUUAGUCCUGUAGCUGUAUCCUUUGAGAUUUGUAAUUGCUACAAUGUGCCUAGUGUGUUGUGCAGGGAUAAAAGAUUCAAGAAAUCUGAUUGAUGUGUUCAUGGUUGUUCGAGAAAAAAACAGGCAUUAGAGAAACCGUUCAAGUGAGGAUUAAAGCCAAAAAAAAGCUAAGCUCUUUCAAAACGGAUACUUUUCAGAGUCUGCCUAAAAGAUAAUGUCUCCCAAGGUACUAAAAGCUAUUGUGUUAUCUGGGGAGGGAUGCUCAUGGCUGUGUGACCUUGGGCAAGUCCCUUAGUUUUCUAUUUAUAAAAUCAGGCACUCAAACCAGAUAUCUUUUCCAGCUCUAAAAUUCUAUACCUGAAUCUGAGAAUGAAUGCCUUCUUGCAGAUGACGUUUAAUUCUGGCUUUUUAUUAUGAUACAGUGCGGUUCAAAUAUAACCCAAACAAAACCAUGUCCCCCACUGCACAAAAAGCAACAUCCAGAGCAAGCUUGAUUUACAUGGGAAUUAGAUCCAACCUCAGAUUUCAGCAUUAUGAUGGGUUCCCACCAGAACGCGCUUGAGUCUCCUCCACCCUGUUCAACUGUGCAGUAAAUCUUCAGGAUGUGAGAUCAGUACUUGCUCUGAUAAAUAUAUGAUCAACAUUAAGCAAAUGCACUAAAUCAUCAGCUUCCCUCUCCUCAGUCUCCCUUCCCUGCCAAAUUCCUAUGGAAACAAACAAACAAAAAAGUCAGAAGCAGAAAAUGUUUUCGGCCCAAUACAUGAUUUGUUUGACCAAGAUUGCCCUACAUUUUAUCAGCGUGGCCUCCACCUGCCCUCCCACCUAGCAGAACUAUUUUCAGCACAUAGGCCAAUGCUUAUUUUUGUAGAUGCACUAAGCCACAUCUCCUGUUAGGCAGUUUUUGUAGAGGAAGUUAUUCCUUAAGCCCAUCCAGCUGUUUUCUCAAGUGUACCUUUAGGAAAAAGGGAACGGGAAGCCUGAGAAGACAUGGCUAGCUCAGAACUGUCCCUUGUGACCACAACCCAGGAAAAAUAUCUCAGGGAACUUACCUUGUUAAUAGCAGAUCAGCAGCACCUCCUUGUAUGAAGGGCAGUCAUCUCAUUUCUUUACUUGGCCGUUGUAAGUCCUGGAUAAUUACUUUUCUCAUUCUAAUUUAAUUUGCAUUAAGCGCGGGGUGUUUAGUUUUUGAGACCUAACACUCAAAUCUGGCAGACACUGGCUUGUGGUUAGGAAUGCAAGACUCCUGGGAAAACAUCUGGCCUCAUUCUGAAUAAGUGCCUGAAUUCAUUUUAUUCUCAUCUAGAAACCUCUCUGAAUGUCCUUCCUAAUGAAGUAUAUGCUGCACACACAUUAUUUUAAAAUAAAAAUAGAUUGACAAAUGACCUUUGAGAGAACCAGGAAUAGAAGAAUGUUUGCUACUUUACCAUGAAUUAAUCAUUAAAAUGAUUCCUAACAUUUUCCUAAAAUUUUAAAGAACGACACACCAACUCAAGACAUUCCAGUUUGACAAUCGUGCUUUGAAUGGACUGCAGCAUUUUCAGCUCUCAUUAUUAUCACAUUGUCUCACUGUAACUUUACUGAGUCACUAUCACAACUACAGAAUAAAGCAUGCUGCAUAACCUUUCUGUAUACAGUACCUAUCACGUAGUUACUAAGCGUUACAAAACAUAAAAAGGGUGACAGCAAUAUUUUAGCUAUGAAUUAACUAGUAGUCACUUAGAAACUGUUGGCCUUUCAUUAGCAUACAGACAUGCACACAUAUUUGCAUAUGUAUUUGUGUAUGCUUGUAUAUGUAUACAUAGACAUGUAUAUAUGUAUAUAUUAGCCAAUCAACUGGAAGUGUUUUUAUUUCAAUAUAUGGACUAUGUUGGAGAAGAACUAGAAUCUCCAAACAAAUGAUAAUGUAUCUCUACUCUAGCUACAGGAAUCCGAUGUAAUUCUCUUCAUCUACCUACACCAUCAUAUACAAGUAGAAUUUCCAAGAAAGUACUCACUUAUUUCUAAAUAUUUCUCUCCGUUUAGUGCCAGAAAGCUAAGGGGCCAUGCAUACUCAAGCUGAUAAAAUGUCAUUGAAGCUUCCAACAUAAGGAGACAUGGAAUGCAUUUGAAUUAAAGAAAGUAGUGAGUGAUACAAUGCCUGCGCCUCCUCAACUUCUCCUUCUGAAAACCUGACCUCCUGAGAGUCUAGAUGUGUGGGAUGAAGAAAUGCAAAUGGUCCAAAGCAGUGUGUGUCAAACUCAAAGCCUGAGUCCUCUAAGUGGAUCCAACAAUUCUCAGGAGGGUAACAUCAGGUAUAUUCUAAUUCGAUGAGGAACUGAUGGGUAGGUUUUUUUUGCAUUAAAUAAAUAAAAGUAAUACUAUUUCACUCAUUACAUUUUUUUCAGUAACUCUCCACAUUAACUAGUUCUAUGGAAUACUGCAUGCUAUAUGUUAUGUUCUCCUCUUCCAGCCCCCCUAGAAAUAUUUAAAAUGUGUAAAAAUUUACAUUAAAAGGUUUUAUUAACAGAAGAGCUAAGAUACCACCAUCUUCCAACAUUUAUUGUGGACUACAAGAAAUCAUUGAGAAUUCCUGGAGGACAUAGUUCUCAAAAGCCAUCCAACUUUGCCAUUUGUGAACUCUGAUUUGUGUGGUGCUGGUGAUGUACGCCUCGGUUUCUUCCUCCAGACUUUCCUGAAUUUCCUGAAACUGAUCCUCUUCAGAGAACAUCUCAUCAGCAUGCAUACCUUCAUCCCUCCCCACCCAAAUCUAGAGGCCACCAAAAACAUCCUCUCUGUGGAACAUAUUUGCAACAUUUUUGACUUGGUGUUCCUAUUUCAGCCAUUUCAAUACCAGGAACUCUUUGACAUUGUCACAUGGGCUAUUUUAAUCCUCCACAUUUUGACAUAACCUAAAAAAAUUAAAUAAGAUACUGUAAGAUGAGCUUUCAUAAGUUGUGUGUGAAGUAUCCACCCCCCACUGCAUCCUUGAGCCAUAGGCAUUAUGGAUCCCCAGCCUCUAGAGUGAACAUCAGCAAAGAGAUGGGAGUUGAAGAGGCAGAACCAGAGAUGGGGCAGAGGUUAGUGAGCCAGAGGUCACUGAGAGUCAUGUUCACCCACAACUUCUCACCCCCAAGGAAGGCUGCCAACUGCUCCGAGCAAACUCUGCUUUUUCUCUGAAAAGUCAUCUAUAUUUUGAAAGACCUGCAUUGUGACUUCCCAGAUUCAAUAAUACAUAACUAGAAGGAAUCAUGUAAAGCAACAGUGUCGUGCAGGUUGCACAGGAAAUCUGCGAUUCCAUUCCUCUGGAUAAUGUAUUUCAUAUGUAGGACAUCUCUGGCUUUGGACAAUGGGACUAAUAGCCCAUCUGGAGGCAGAUGCACUUUAGAAAUGAGAUUCCACUUCCAAGCACAGUAGCAUGAGUAGUUCUGAAGAUCCAUUUCUUAGCAAAACUGGUAAAAAUUAUUUUUUAUAAAAAUAAAAAUUAAAAGCCCUGGAAAUGAUCCUAAGGUCAUACAGCAAAUGAAGAAAUAUUUAUUCAAGAAAACUUACUAAACCUCAGUAAGAACAGUGGCAAUCUAUAAUAUUUGUGCCAAGACCCACCCCCUCCCUCUCCCCUCCUAGUUCAAGGAGAUGGAAAACCCAACCCAGAGAAGUGCAGCCAAGAACACGAGGUUUGCUCCUCACCCAGUUCCUCAGAGGAUUAUCGUCUCUGGAGGGGCAGGACAUCCCCAUUUCCCUUGCAGUCCUUAGCUACCUAUUGCUGAGGCUAAGUUCUAGGUGAGUGAGGCCGAGAAAUGAAGGCUUCUUUCUUCCACUCAGCCCCCACUUGUGGGACAGAGGUUCUGCCUUGGGUCUGGCAGUGCUGAAAAUUAUCCAGCCCCAGUCAUCCUUGUCUCAGCUGGAAAGGUAGAGGCUUCACACUCAGAGAAGAAGGCCAAGAAGACCUAAGGCCACUGCCACAUCCACCCAUUGAGCACUAAGCUUUUAAAGCCCUAAUGUCACACUGUCCUAAAAGCAGCAAGGUAAAAAUGACUUCUCACUAACAUAGGAAACCCAAUAAGAAUAGUAGCUGAUUUCUUUCUUUUACAGCUUUUCCUGCCCCUCCAUCCCUUCCUUCUCCUCACUUUUUUUUUAGACAGUUUGACCUGAAUGACUAAACUGUAGACACAAGGGAUUUUUGUAGGUCCAUUGUGACUCAUAGAGUUUAAGCAUCCAAUUAAAUAUCUCUAGGCUUCAGUUCCUAGGGUUUUUCAAAUUUCUGCUGACAAUUAUUUCAUAUAUAGACAUUUUAAAACUAGGACUCAACUGUUUAAUCAUGCUUAAGACACAGUUUUUUAAACAUAAUGCUUUUUUGUAUUAUUAACAAUAUUUUUAAAAACUUUUAUUUUAAGUUCAGGGGUACAUGUG
rnacentral:lncRNA from 10 species